UCAAUCCCUUUGUCCCCAAACCCUGCUCAAUACCACCUUGAACUUCAACCUUUUGAGUUAUGCUUGGAACCUUGAGAACAUAACAUUGUAUUACCAUUGCCCUUUGAUUUCCAACAUAUCUUCAGGGUUUCCAAGUCUGUUUAACUGCAGCACCAGCAAUGGGACAGAUAUGGUGAAUUACUAUGUUAUAGCAUCUGUUCUGGGCAACCUUUCAACUGAAGUGAAAGAUGGGUUGGGAUCUUGUGAUAGCCAUGUGAUUGUUCCAGCUUUUUAUACUGCAGUUGAGACAAUCAAGAGAAACCCAACUCCAGAUACUUUGGUUUUGCCUCUUGGUAAUGGAUUUGGAUUGAAAUGGGAUGCAAAUAUAGCUUCCAAAUGUGAAGACUGCAAUGGUUCUGGUGGUAGGUGUGGGUAUAAUAACAGUUUGAAUCAAUUCACUUGUUAUUGCCCAAAUCAUACUGAUGCAUCAACUUGUCUUCAACCAGGUAUGCAGUAAAAACACAUUUUCUUUUGAGUAAUUAGAGUUUUUGGAUCAAAUUAAUUAGGUUUCUUGGUUUAACUGCUUCAUAUAUGCAUUUAGAGAGCACUAUAUAAAUUUUUUUCUAAAACCAGCAACUUUUUCAACCAUGUGAGGUCUCAAAAUCUAGGUGCUUCCAUCCCUUUGAUAUGUUAAAGUUGUGAGCUCUACAUGGAUUCUCAAUGCUUGGUAGCAUAAAUUAAAGAAUUCAAAAGAAAAAAAAGUGUUGAAUCAGCUGUCUGUAUUUGAAAUAUAGUUUAGGUGAAAGGCAUCAACUUUAAAGCUGACAAAUUUGAACAUAUGUUAUUAUUCUAAAGUAACAUGCUUGCUUUUCAGCAGGAACAAGGAAAUAUAGCCAAAGAAACAGCUAUAUCUUUACUGCUAAAAAACCCCCCACUUUGCUGGCACUUAUGGAUCGUAAAAUUUUAAAAUUUUAGAACAUAGUAUUUGCAAAUUACAUUUCAUUUUUUAUUAAUUUUUUUCUUUAAAUCCAAAUACAUAUCAGAUAUGAAUAUAAAACACGAAUAAUUUAAGAAAAAUGUACGUCUAGGUAACAUGAUUGUCUAUUUUAUGUUCCAGGGUCGUCUGUUGGUACCAGUUUGAAGAUUAAGCUGAUCAUAGGUAAUAAACACAUUCUUAUAUCUGUGUUUAGAAGAAUGAAAAAUCAACUAAUAUUUCUGACAAAAGAUAAUUGACCAUUCAUUUAAAACAGGGUUUACAGUGGUAGGUGCUACUAUCAUGGUAGUUUGCUUUAUGGUGUUUGCCUUGAGACUUAAGAAAGGAUCGUUGUCAAGUGGAAUGCUGAUGAGUUUGCAGCGAAAUAAAAGGAAGAACAGUGAAAGGAUUGAGGCAUUCAUCAUGAGAUAUGGUUCAGAUCUUGCUCCGAAGCGGUAUUCUUAUUCGGACAUCAAGAAAAUCACCAAGUCGUUCAAAGACAAGCUUGGCGAAGGCGGAUUCGGCAGUGUCUACAAAGGUAAGCUCCCAGGUGGACGUCUUGUUGCAGUUAAAGUCUUGAGUGAAUCUAGGGAAGAUGGAGAGGAAUUCAUUAACGAAGUGGCGAGUAUUAGUCGAACUUCUCAUGUUAACGUAGUGACGUUUCUUGGAUUUUGUUAUGAGAGUUCGAUAAGAGCUUUGUUAUAUGAGUUCAUGCCGAAUGGAUCGCUGGAUAAGUACAUCUACCACCACAGAUCACCAGAUAAAAGCUGUAUACUGAACCGGGAAACAAUGUUUGAAAUUGCUGUCGGCGUUGCACGAGGGUUGGAAUAUCUACAUCGAGGAUGUAACACGAGAAUUUUGCACUUAGACAUAAAACCUCAUAACAUCCUUUUAGACGAAAACUUUGUUCCCAGGAUUUCGGAUUUUGGUCUUGCUAAGUUAUGUGAGCGGAAGGGAAGCAUUCUUUCGUCGAUAACCGCACGAGGAACGAUAGGAUACAUUGCUCCAGAACUAUUUUGUCGAAACUUCGGAGGCGUUUCUUACAAAUCCGAUGUUUAUAGCUAUGGGAUGAUGGUUCUUGAAAUGGUUGGAGCGAAGGAAAACACUCAUGUCGGAGGGUCUUUAACAAGUGAAAUGAACUUCCCUUCAUGGAUUUACGAACAUCUCAAACAAGAAGCAUUCAAUCUUGAAGGAAUCACGGUGGAAGAUGAAGAAAUAACUAGGAAGAUGAUUAUAGUGAGCUUAUGGUGCAUUCAAACUAAUCCAUCAGACCGACCAUCAAUGACUAAAGUACUAGAAAUGUUACAAGGAAACCUUCAAUCACUAGCAACUCCACCAAGACCUUUCUUGUUUUCUCCUCAACGAUCGCCCCCAAACUCCUUGUCGGCAAUAUCAUUUUUUGCAUCUUCCAUUACCAUGAAUAUCGAAUAAUAAGGCUGCGGUAAAAUUUUUGACUUCACCAAAGAAUUAAGAUUUUAGAAAGUAUUUUCUUUUUUACUUUUUAAAACAUUUAACCUGUUUUACCUAAUAGAAAAGUUUUAAUGUAUAUUUCAUUAGAGUUGUUUAUCAAGGAGAUCAGGUUCGGAAUGAACCAUUGUAUGGUAAAACAAUCAAUAUUUGUUCCAAGUUUAGCUUAGUUCGAUAUAUGAGCUUCAAUUUUUACUGAAGUCCUUUUAUAUUUUGCAAAUGAUUAACACAAUCCUACCAUAUUAAAGAAAAAGGUUUAAUUUAUACUAAUUUAAUUUUAUUAUUUAAUAUUUUUAAUUAAAAUUUUAAAGAUGAACAAUGAAACAUAUUUUUAAUAUUAAUAUUAUAGUAUUAUCUAUAUUAUUUGUUGAGUGUUUUACUGAGUUAGUGUUACCCUCAACCGGUUACCAUCUCAUGUAGGAAAAUUACGAAAAUACUCUUUCGUAAGUAAGUUAUAAUUUUCGAGAGUAUUUUAAUCUUUUUAUUUUUAAAAAAAUCAAUAAAAAUAUGUAUAAGAUAGGGUUUGAACUCGCACCAAUUAAAUUAAUAAAACUUUAAAUUUACCACACAACUAAAAUUUCACUUUAAUAUCCAGAAUUUAUUAUCUCUAUUAGUUAUAUAUAGACCUAAUCAUGGGUUGGGACACCCGGCCCAGCCCAAAGGCCCACCAUAAAUGUGUGAGGGUUUGGAUAAAAAUAUAGGCCCAAAAAAUAGGCUUGGACAAAAAAAAUAAGUCUCAUUUAAAAAAUAGGUCGGGCAUCGGGUAAGGUAUUUUAGCCCGGCCCGGCCCGAAUUCACUAAAAGACAAUUUUUUUAAUGUUAUUUUCUUGUUAUUUUCUCCCUAUUUUGCUACUAUUUUACUAUCAUGUUGCUACUAUUUUAUUGUUAUUGUUUAGAUAUUGUAUAAAACUUAUUUUUAUUAUUAAUUUUGUUAUUAUUUUAAAGGCAUUUGUUAAUUUUGUUAUUAUUUUAGAGGCAUUUGCUUGUUAAGUUGUAUUUAUCUUAGUGUUAUUUAAGUCUACAUACUUUUUAAAAUUUAUUUUCAAUUUGUUGGGAAAUAUUUAUUUUGGUGUUUUUAGUAUUUUUGAUGUAUUAUAUAUAUUUAAAAAUAAUAUAAAAAAUUAAUACGGGCAGGCCAAAUCGGACUCGGGUUUUAGCAUUUUUAUCUAGGUAGGGCUCGGGCAAAAUUUUAGGCCCGUUUUUUGAGCCGAGCCCGGGCCUAGUAAAUGGGUCUAUAUUUUUAAUUGAGCCCGGACCGGCCCAGCCCAUGAGCACCUCUAGUUGUAUAUAUUAAUAAUAUUUUUAAUUGAAUUGAUGUCCCAAAUUACCUCGACAUUAACUCACAAUUGAUGACAACACCAUAAUAAAUAAUUGUAGUGCAUUUAGUAUUGUUAAUUUGAUGUAUUUAUGUUGUUAAUUUCAUGUGUUAUUAUGUUUAAUUAUUUUAAACCAUAUAUUUCAUUGUUUAUUAUAUGUUAGUUUUAAAAAUAUAUGUGUUUUAAAUUUAUGAUUUUCACACACAUACACAUGUGAUAGGAUUUCCAAUAUAUUAUUAUAGAUUUAAGUUAGAUUUAAGUUACAUAAUAUAAUAUAAUACAAUACUUAAAAACAAAUUGGAUAAGGUUAGACUAAAGCUAUGAAUAUUAAAAUUCAAGUCUUGAACAUAUUUUGUAUUGAUUAAAAUUUUUUUUAUCUAUAGGGUACAUACCUCCAAAACUAAUUCAAUUAUAAAAUAUUUUGCCCACAUUUUAGUCCAUAGAUUCAAGAUGCCUUGGUUGCCCAACUUUCCAUGGUUCUCCUCGUUAGUCGUUACCUCUUUUCUAGGUAAGCAUGAGUUAAUAUGUUUACUUUUUUUUUUAAUAAUUUUGUUAUAAAUUUUGAUCAUAUUUGUUUUUUAUAUAACAUCUAGAAUUAUUUAUAGUCCUUCCUUAACCAAUAAAUAAGAGAAUAAUGCACUUCAGCACAAUCAAACUCACGUUCUUCUGCAUUUGCAAUAAUGUUAAUAUUAAUUGAACUAAAACUCAAAUUGAUUAAUACAUCUAAUUCUUAAAUCAUAUUUUUCAAAUUCUACAAUUAGUACCGUUUUUAUAUAUUCUAAAUUUUUAUCUAUGAUAUUUUUAAAAUCAAUAUUGAUUCCAACAAUUCAACAGAGGUAGUGAAAAUUCUUAGAACAUGCAAUGAAGUUGAAAGAUUUCUUUUUUAAUUUCUGGAAGUAAAUAUUUUCCUUUGUCCUAUCACUCUCAACAACACACCACUUGAAAAUCAGAGUAUUCAACCAUUUUAUUUUCCACAUCUAAAAAUAAAAUAAAAUUAGAGUAAGGUUGAAUCCAAUGGAGAUAGAAUAAAUAGAAUAAAAUUUUGCCAUGACUAGAAAUUAGUUGGGAUCAUGACUAGGUAAACUGUAAUUAAAUAAAUACAAGAAGAGGUUUUAAUUAUUCUAAAAUUAAAGAAAUAAAUACAAUCAAUAGGAAAUGAGAUAGAAAAUAGAAAAUCAAAAUUAUGAAUAAGAAAUCAACUAUGUUAGUCUUGGUAUGAUGACAUAUUUCUUUUCAUUUAUAAGUCAACUAUAGUAAUCCAAAAACAACUUCAAAUCACUACUUUUUUUUUUCUUAAAUUGUAAUUUAAAUACGAAAACAAUUGUCAAUCGAAUAUUUCUAAGAGAGUUUCUAGAAUUUAAUUCAUCAACAAUCUGACAUAUUAGAAGAGCCUUACAAAUUAAAAAGAUCUGAAUCUAAUCAACAAACUCAACUGUCCUAUUUCUUUUAUAUAUUCUUUUUAAUUUUUGUACUAUAUUUUAUACACACCUGUCAUCAAUUCAACGUAUCAAAUAUUUUCCCAUAAAAAUACCAUAUUUUACUAAAAUUAAUAUCAUACACCUUACAAAAAAUAGCAUACAAUCAUGACCAGUCUUUUCUUCAUAAUCUACCCAAAAAAUGUCAAAUAUGCGCCCAACAAUUAUGUAAGAUAUAUUAAAUUACAUUUUAUAUCUAAGAGAUGAAAAUUGUAAUUAGAUUAAUUAUAAGCAUUAAAGUUAAUGAUUGAGAUAAAUAUAGAAGCAGCGACUAAAUUAAUAAAGAGUAUCUUGAUUUGUUUCUUUUUAACUACUGUCGAUUUUUGGCUUACUUUGGUUUCCAGUACUGUUCUUGGAACUUAAUAUCCUUGCUGACUUAAAUUAAUAAAGCUGCACCAUUUUAUACAAGCAAUCGAACAAUAUCCUUAGUUCUCACUUUUCCUUUUCGAUUAUAAAUGAUAUUUGGGUUGGAAACGUAGAUCCACUCACUAACUUUUCACGACUUUUAUAAGAUUCAAUAAUGGCUAACCAAGUUUCCAUGACUAUUCCUUUUCUUAUAUACCCCUUUCUUUCUGCAAUCUAAAGUCUUUCAAUUUUGUCCUCUUAAAAAUAUCAACAAAGAUGGGGAACUUCCUUUUAACUUUCAAGUGACUAGAAUCAUUAAUAACUUCUUUAACCAUAAAGGUUCUCUUGAUGACAUUCAUAAUAUUCUAAUUUCUUCCAUUUCCUAGUUGAUGUAACCUUUACUUUUUUGGUUAGGAUGAAAAUUUUUGCCAAAUUCUCUCUCAAGCUAGUGUUUUUACCAAACAACAUGGCUUCCUUUAAUAUCUCUGCGACCUCAUCAUCCCUGGUUUUUUUCAUCAUCAUCAUCCUUUUAUUAGCUCAAGUUCCAACCUUAUCAAGUUCAAGCAAUGACAACUAUAUGGUCUGCAGCAAACAAUUCCAUUGUGGGAACCUCAAAAAUGUUAGCUACCCUUUUUGGGGAGGUGACAGGCCUGAGAAUUGUGGGCAACCAGGGUUAAAGUUAACUUGCCUGGAAGAUGAAGAAACCCAGAUCACAAUCAUGUCAGUAAGUUACAAAGUCAUCGAAAUCAACAUGGAUAUACAAGCUUUCACUGUAGCCAGAACUGAUUAUCUUCAAAACCUUUGUCCCCAAACCCUGCUCAAUACCACCUUGAACUUCAACCUUUUGAGUUAUGCUUGGAACCUUGAGAACAUAACAUUGUAUUACCAUUGCCCUUUGAUUUCCAACAUAUCUUCAGGGUUUCCAAGUCUGUUUAACUGCAGCACCGGCAAUGGAACAGAUAUGGUGAACUACUAUGUUAUAGCAUCUGUUCUGGGCAACCUUUCAACUGAAGUGAAAGAUGGGUUGAGAUCUUGUGAUAGCCAUGUGAUUGUUCCAGCUUUUUAUACUGCAGUUGAGACAAUCAAGAGCAACCCAACUCCAGACACUUUGGUUUUGCCACUUGGUAAUGGAUUUGGAUUGAAAUGGGAUGCAAAUAUAGCUUCCAAAUGUGAAGACUGCAAUGGUUCUGGUGGUAGGUGUGGAUAUAAUAAGAGUUCGAAUCAAUUCACUUGUUAUUGCCCAAAUCAUACUGAUGCAUCAAC
rnacentral:lncRNA from 1 species